rnacentral:lncRNA from 1 species
UGUGUCUGGCCCCCACCCAAAGCCCAGGGCGGGAGGGGUCACUGUAAGGUGUGAGCAGAUCUGAGCGGAGUGAACAGGUCCGGGGUGGGGGCCUGGUCGCUGAAGAAGAAGGCUGGCCCCUCUGUUCAGGCUCCAUGGGGCGGGUGCCCACCUCAUUAGUGCUUUGUGCCUUGUGCCAGCCCCCCAGGCCAAGAAAGCCCCUUAGGAAAAAGAAUGGGUCCCUGUGCCUGGGCUGGGAGGGGCUGACAGGGCAGCCUGGUGGGCAGUGGGAGGGUGGGGUGCUGGCCCAGGGCUAGGGUAGGACGCGGGGAGCAGUAGGUCAUCCCCCUGCUACAGGGAGGCUGAGGGUGGGGUGCUGGCCCAGGGCCAGGGUAGGAUGGGGAGAGCAGCAGGUCAUCCUCCUGCUAUAGGGACAGGGCAGAAGGCUGAGGGCCAGUGUGUGUCGUGGAGUUCUGGACAAGCGGAGGAGCUCCAGGCCCCAGUCCUCAAAGAGCCGAACGUCGCCGUGACAAUGCCACGUGCUUCCAUCAUGCUGUGACGCUUCCAGGGCGUUCCUGAGUUUGCAUUGUGUGGUUCCUCCUACGUCACUCCUGGGAGGUGGGGCUGUGGCCCCUGCCUGAUGAAGAAGUCAGGAUUCAGGGAGCAGCCAGCACCCAGACCCAGCAUGGAAGAGUGGAGCGGGACCUGGCCCCUGCCACCUGUGUUUCCAAGGGCUGGGAUCCU